rnacentral:misc_RNA from 1 species
GAUGAAGAACGCAGCGAAAUGCGAUAAGUAAUGUGAAUUGCAGAAUUCAGUGAAUCAUCGAAUCUUUGAACGCACAUUGCGCCCCCUGGUAUUCCGGGGGGCAUGCCUGUUCGAGCGUCAUUUCACCACUCAAGCCUCGCUUGGUAUUGGGCGACGCGGUCCGCCGCGCGCCUCAAAUCGACCGGCUGGGUCUUUCGUCCCCUCAGCGUUGUGGAAACUAUUCGCUAAAGGGUGCCGCGGGAGGCCACGCCGUAAAACAACCCCAUUUCUAAGGUUGACCUCGGAUCAGGUAGGGAUACCCGCUGAACUUAAGCAUAUCAAAAGCGGAGGA